CACAAACAACUUUGAGUCCCGGGAGGGCGGAGGUGGAGAGAGAUUCUCCGCUUGGAUAAGGGCGGCUGGAUAGCCGAGUACUCUCUUUUGGGGCUGUUGGCCGUCUCCGGAGUCUCGGGAGCGCCUUGAUGUCCCUUCCCAGGGCUCGGGUUCCUUUGAGAGAAUCAAGAGGAAGGUGUUUUUCACUAGGACUCGCGGUGGGCCCCACCUGCCUACCGUGGCCGGCCGGGAGCUAUUACAGCAGGGUCUGCCCGUCCGACGACGGCGGCUCCAAUCUGGGGUCCCGCCGGCGCCGACCCCUCAGCUCUCUCCCGAUACCUGCUGGCCUCUCUCAUCUUUGGUGGCACUCGCCGCCACGGGGACGGUGAGAUCAAAGAGGUAGACCUAGGCCAGGAGGGACUGCCAGGGCUCCUUCCCGCGGGCCAGCCUCUCGUCCUUCCUCCCGGGACGGGGCUCUUUCCCUUUCUCCGGAUGCGGGCCUUUGAGAGUCAGCGACGCCUUAGACUCCUCCCAGAAAAAUGCACCCUCAUCUACCCAAUUCUGCCCUACCCUUUGGAGCUCCUGGACCCUCUAACCGCUCGGUGGGGUCAGAGCCCACCCCCGGAAGGGCCGCUGGUCGGGGACUGGUUCGCCCUCUCCUGGCCUCCUCGGACCAGUGCGCGGGGAGGAUCCCGCUAACGCCGGGCGCCUGCAGACCUUGAGCGGCCUCGCCCUGGUGACCUCCCCGGGAAAGGCUGGGCGGUGCUUCCACAAUGAGGGCCACCUGUUAAUUUGCACGAGAAAGUGCUGCCGAGGGCCCACACGUGCGAAUCCACCUGUGGAGUGCGUCCCCUCUCUGGGGCCAAGGCCUAGGGGAGGCCGAAGCGGAGAAGUUGCCUGAAGACUGGGAAGUAAGAGUAGGGGCGUCGGAGGAAUCGAAGUUGCAGUGACAUCAGGCUCGGACAGCCGGCGGACUCCUCGCAAGGUGAUCGGAUACUUCCGAGAGCCCCACAGUCCUCCUGGGCCUUUGCCCUCGCGUCUGGGAUGCGCUCGGGCGCCCCCAGUCUGCGAUGCGUUCGUACCUCCAGUAGGGUGACGUUUUCGCCGGGCCCCUCUGCGAACAGUCUCCGCCCUCCUCCACUGUGAGAUAUUUCACAGUUUCACCCGCAGAGGGCAACCUUAUUCCAAGUUCCCGAGCGCCCUAGGCCUCUUUCUCCUCCCUGCCUAACUGGCCUCAAACUUCUUCAUGGGAAAAGAUGGCUUCUCUUUUUUAAUUGAAUGAACUAGAAGAAGUUCAUUGUUAUUCAUCAACUUCAAAGAGACUAUAUGAGGCCCCUUGGCCAGGACUACAGAGCAGUAUUUUUUAAUCAGAAAUUAUAGCCAAAAAGAAGAGACCAGAACACAUGGAUGAAGAAGGAAGGCAUUAAAGAUUAUGUAAUUUGCUGGGUGUGGUGGCUGACGCCUGUAAUCCCAGCACUUUGGGAGGCAGAGGCUGGCGGAUCACUUGAGGUCAGGAGUUCGAGACCAGCCUGGACAACAUGGCAAAAACCUGUCUUUACUAAAAAUACAAAAAUUAGCCAGAUGUGGUGGUGGGCGCCUGUAAUCCCAGCUACUUGGGAGGCUGAGGCAUGAGAAUCGCUUGAACUCGGGAGGCAGAUGUUGCAGUGAGCAGAGAUGGCGCCACUGCACUCCUCCCUGGGCGACAAAGCAAGACUCCGUCUCAACAUCACUGAACCAGUAGGGGGCAGAGCUGGAAGUUGAGCCUAGGUGUGUCUGACUCCACAGCCUACGCCCCGAACCUUGACUUUGUGCUUUCUCACAAUGCCUAUGGCUGCUGCUUUAAAACAGCACUUUCCAUUUGCCUUGUUAAAUGGGAUUGUAUAUGAAUUAUACUUCACUGUUUAUUUCUAGAGAAAUAAAAGAAUCUAAUAAAGGAAUCUGACACGG
ensembl:lncRNA LNCRNA-IUR lncRNA imatinib upregulated